rnacentral:lncRNA from 1 species
UGACACAUUAAGUAAUUAUGCUUCAAUACAAAAGCUCAUGUGCGCAUCUUCUUUUAGAUAAGGAUGCUAUAUUAAAAUAUAAAGUGGUUUUUAAAAGUUAAAGGUUACAAUUAAGCGGCAAUUAGGCACAUCUCAUGGUUGCACAAUAACAAGAGACCUAUUUUAAGUUUGCACAAUAAGUGAUCUAUUCUAGCAAUGGAAGAGGUACGAUGGAUUGGAUUCCAAAGAGUAAAAGAUAUUUUGCAUCAAUGUCAUUAUCAUAGAACUUUGCUAUUUUCUAUCUGAGUUGCUAAGUUUAUGUAAUUUACUCGCACAUUAUUUUGAUACAUUGUUAGAUAUUGACUAGAUGUAAUUAGUGAAGUUUCUUUAUAUUAAUAAUAUUUAUAUUCGCAAGCAUAGAAAAUUAUAAACCACAACAACAUUAACAUUGAUUAACCAAGUAAAAGAAAUUUUGAUUUUACAUGUGUUUUACAAGAUUUAUAAGCUUCAAAAGGAUUGGGUGUAACAAUAUUUUAAAAAACGAGGCUAAAGGACUUUUGCGACAUUUUUCACAUGCUGUCAUAAUACAGAGUUCUCGUAGUGAAAAAUUAACAUAGCAGACAACCAUGGAUCUUGGCAAUCCACCAACGGCUCACAUCGGACCUUGGUAAUCUGUCAAGGGCUCACCUCUUAUUAUCAUUAGUUUCUCUUUUGGGAAAUGUACAAAAAUAACCUAAAAAUUUUUGUAAUUUUUACAAUGAGCCAUUCAAACUUUUUUCUAUCAACAUUAGCCAAACACAAUAUUUUCUUCCCAAAUUACCCUUGUUUACAAACCAAAAGCAACUUUUCUUCUCCCCCCUGAUCAAACGAAACAUAGUCUUGCACUCUUGAAUUAUCAUCAGCGACGACAAACGGCAACGGCAACGGCGAACGGUAAAAAUGAACUCCGAUCAAAUACAGCAUAAUCCAUCCAGAUCCAACACUAAUACGUAUCACCGAGCAGUAAGAGAUAUUUUCUUAACUUGCGAACUUGAUUCAGUGCGAUUGCAAACAGGUGCGACAGGCUGCCUGUCGCACCAAGAUUUCGUGCGACAGGCUGCCUGUCGCACCAAGAGUAGGUGCGACAGGCACCUGUUGCACCAAGAAUAGGUGCGACAGGCACCUGUCGCACCAAGAGUAGGUGCGACAGGCUGCCUGUCGCACCUAUUUAUGAUAAUGCAAGCUGUUGCUUCUUCUAAAAAUCAAAAUCGAAUAAGCACUUCAACAGUGGCGGCUUGCAUGGCACCUCUACUUCUUCGUCCCCUUCUAGCUGGUGAAUGUGAGAUUGAAACUAAUUUCAAUGUGGACCGCC